AAAAAAUUAGUUAACAUUAUUUAUAAUAUAGUUUUGUCAAGACUAAGUGGUUUAAAAACAUUUUUUU
rnacentral:tRNA from 1 species